GGGCGGUUAGCUCAGUUGGCUAGAGCGCAGCGUUGACAUCGCUGAGGUCACUGGUUCGAGUCCAGUACCGCCCACCA
rnacentral:tRNA from 1 species